GAGUUUGAUCUUGGCUCAGGACGAACGCUGGCGGCGCGCUUAACACAUGCAAGUCGAACGGGUGGCUUCGGCCAUCAGUGGCGAACGGGUGCGUAACACGUAAGCGACCUGCCUCGAGAUGGGGGAUAACCCCGGGAAACCGGGGCUAACUACCGCAUGCGCUCUUUGAUCUGCAUGGAUUGGAGAGGAAAGCUUCUGCAAGGGAGCGUCUUGAGAGGGGCUUGCGGCGUAUCAGCUGGUUGGUGAGGUAACCGCUCACCAAGGCGAUGACGCGUAGGGGGUCUGAGAGGACGGCCCCCCACAUUGGGACUGAGAUACGGCCCAGACUCCUACGGGAGCAGCAGUGGGGAAUCUUGCGCAAUGGCCGAAAGGCUGACGCAGCGACGCCGCGUGCGGGAGGAAGGUCUUCGGAUCGUAAACCGCUGUCAGGAGGGACGAACGGAUGGGGGAGGCAAUGCCCUUGCGUGACGGUACC
rnacentral:rRNA from 1 species